GCCAGACUCCUACGGGAGGCAGCAGUCGGGAAUAUUGCGCAAUGGAGGAAACUCUGACGCAGUGACGCCGCGUAUAGGAAGAAGGUUUUCGGAUUGUAAACUAUUGCCGUUAGGGAAGAUAAAAGACUGUACCUAAGGAGGAAGCCCCGGCUAACUAUGUGCCAGCAGCCGCGGUAAUACGUAGGGGGCGAGCGUUAUCCGGAUUCACUGGGUGUAAAGGGAGCGUAGACGGCCAUGCAAGCCAGGGGUGAAAGCGCGGGGCCCAACCCCGGGACUGCCCUUGGAACUGCAUGGCUGGAGUGCGGGAGGGGCAGGCGGAAUUCCUGGUGUAGCGGUGAAAUGCGUAGAUAUCAGGAGGAACACCGGCGGCGAAGGCGGCCUGCUGGACCGCGACUGACGUUGAGGCUCGAAAGCGUGGGGAGCGAACAGGAUUAGAUACCCCCGUA
rnacentral:rRNA from 1 species